rfam:Clostridium difficile 630 complete genome
UUAAAGACUGAGAAGAAGAGGAGUAAGUAAAUACUACUAAAAGAGAGGAAAAUUCACUGGCUGUAAGAUUUUCUAAGUAUAAGAUUUACUGAAUGUAGCUUUGGAGUUUCUAAACUGAACUAUAAGUAAGUUUAGACGGUUAGAACCGUUAAAUUCUUUGAGAGUCAAAGUUGAUAAAAUAACAUUAACCAAUAAUUUAAUGAUAUGUUAAUGUAUUUUAAGCUUUGGAAUUAAGGUGGUAACGCGAGCUUUUCGUCCUUUUU